AGCCCAAACCGUUAUUGUUUCGGCAUUAACGGGGUAGUAGGACUGCAAGCUUGAUGAAAUAAAUGAAAUGGAACACCUUGGAAAAUGUGAUCAUAGAGGGUGAUAAUCCCGUACAUGCAAGUUUAUGAAUCAUAGCAGACUCCUGAGUAAGUCGGGACACGUGUAAUCCUGACCGAAUCCGCCGGGACCAUCCGGCAAGGCUAAAUACUCCUGAGAGACCGAUAGUGAACCAGUACCGUGAGGGAAAGGUGAAAAGCACUUCGAACAGAAGAGUGAAAUAGUCCCUGAACCCAUACGCCUACAAGCAGUCGGAGCCGCUUCGUGCGGUGACGGCGUGCCUUUUGCAUAAUGAGCCUACGAGUUACUCAUCACCAGCGAGGUUAAGUACUUCAGGUACGUAAGCCGAAGCGAAAGCGAGUCUGAAUAGGGCGUCAAGUUGGUGGUGGUAGACGCGAAACCUUAGUGAUCUACCCAUGGGCAGGGUGAAGGUUUGGUAACACAAACUGGAGGCCCGAACCGGUAAACGUUGAAAAGUUUUCGGAUGACCUGUGGGUAGGGGUGAAAGGCCAAUCAAACUGGGAAAUAGCUCGUACUCUCCGAAAUGCAUUUAGGUGCAGCCUCUGUUGUUUUGUUCUAGAGGUAGAGCUACUGAUUGGAUGCGAGGGCUUCACCGCCUAUCAAAUCCGGCCAAACUCCGAAUGCUAGAACAUGAAGACAGGGAGUGAGCCAGCGGGUGCUAAGGUCCGUUGACGAAAGAGGGAGAACUCAGACCAUCAGCUAAGGUCCCCAAUUAUAUGCUAAGUUGGAAUUAAAACGGGGUGGGACUGCUUAGACAGCUAGGAUGUUGGCUUGGAAGCAGCCAUUCAUUUAAAGAGUGCGUAACAGCUCACUAGUCGAGCGGUCCUGCAUGGAUAAUACGCGGGCAUAAGCAUAUAACCGAAGCUAUGGGAUUGUAGAUGAUACAAUCGGUAGGAGAGCAUUCCAUUCAGCGUAGAAGCAGUAUCGUGAGGUAUUGUGGAGCGGAUGGAAAAGCAAAUGUAGGCAUAAGUAACGAUAAUGCGGGUGAGAACCCCGCACGCCGAAAGAUCAAGGAUUCCCCGGCAAUGUCAAUCAUCCGGGGGUAAGUCGGAUCCUAAGGGUAAGCCGAGUGGCGAUCCCGAUGGCAAACAGGUUAAUAUUCCUGUACUGAUCAUAACUGCGAUGCAGCGACGCAGAGGUGACACUGCUGCGUACUGACGGAAUAGUACGUUGAAACCCGUAUUCUUUGAUACCGGUAGUGAAGCACGCCGGUAGAGAUGAAAGGUGAUAGUACCGCAAUGCUUCGGUUGCGCGGAUAACGCAGGUAAGCUGACUGCCAAGAAAACCUGCUAAGCUUCAGGUAAUGAUCAUCCGUACUGUAAACGGACACACGUGAUCAGGUAGAAAAUACUAAGGCGCUCGAGAGAUUCAUGGUUAAGGAACUAGGCAAAAUGGUCCUGUAACUUCGGGAUAAAGGACGCUCUUGUGAAAGAGCCGCAGAUAAUAGGCCCAGGCGACUGUUUACCAAAAACACAUGGCUAUGCUAAUUCGCAAGAAGAUGUAUAUGGCCUGACACCUGCCCGGUGCCGGAAGGUUAAGAGGAGAGCUCAGAGGUAACUCGAAGGUUUGAAUUGAAGCCCCGGUAAACGGCGGCCGUAACUAUAACGGUCCUAAGGUAGCGAAAUUCCUUGUCGGGUAAGUUCCGACCUGCACGAAUGGUGUAACGAUCUGGGUACUGUCUCAACCAUGAGCUCGGUGAAAUUGUAGUUCCGGUGAAGAUGCCGGAUACCCGCAACGGGACGGAAAGACCCCGUGAACCUUUACUGCAGCUUUGCAUUGAUUUUGGGUAACAGAUGUGUAGGAUAGGUCGGAGGCUUUGAUGCUGCGUCGUCAGGCGUAGAGUAGCCGUCGUUGAAAUACGACCCUUUUGUUAUCUGAGGUCUAAUCCCGUUAGGGAGACAUUGCAUGGUGGGUAGUUUGACUGGGGUGGUCGCCUCCAAAAGUGUAACGGAGGCUUCUCAAGGUACCCUCAAGGCGUUUGGUAAUCGUCUGCAGAGUGCAAUGGCAUAAGGGUGCUUGACUGUGAGACCGACACGUCGAUCAGGUUGGAAACAAGAGCAUAGUGAUCCGGUGGUUCCGCAUGGAAGGGCCAUCG
rnacentral:rRNA from 1 species